GAUGAACGUUGGCGGUGUGCCUAAUACAUGCAAGUCGAACGGAGUUAGUAGCAAUACUGGCUCAGUGGCGAACGGGUGAGUAACGCGUUGGUGAUCUGCCUUGAAGCGUGGAAUAACGUUUCGAAAGGAACGCUAAUACCGCAUGUGCUCUCGAUUUUCAGAAAGUUGAGAGUAAAGGAUUUAUUCGCUUCAAGAGGAGCCUGCGUCCCAUCAGCUGGUUGGUAGGGUAACGGCCUACCAAGGCUAUGACGGGUAGGGGACCUGAGAGGGUGGCCCCCCACAAUGGAACUGAAACACGGUCCAUACACCUACGGGUGGCAGCAGUAGGGAAUAUUAGAAAUGGACGAAAGUCUGAUCUAGCAACACCGCGUGUGCGAAGAAGGCCUUCGGGUCGUAAAGCACUUUUUGGAAGGAAUAGGAAGGAAUGUACUUCCAGAAUAAGUCUCGGCUAACUACGUGCCAGCCGCCGCGGUAACAC
rnacentral:rRNA from 1 species